rnacentral:lncRNA from 1 species
CUUCAGUGUCUCUUGUGUGCCAGUCUGGAGAGCAAUUAGCUUCAUUUCCAUUAGUUUUUAAAACUUGACUUUGCCCUUAAGUGACAGAGAUUCUAUUUUCCUUUCAACCAUGUAUUUUUUUUCAUUUUGCUUCCCUAACCCAAUUUUAAUUAUCCCCAAACUAUAAGCAUUUAUGAGUUAAGAAUGCCUACUCUCUGUCACAAUCAUGCAAGAUGAAAAGAUAUUUAACCACAGGCUGUGUGUUCCAAGUGCCUGCAAUUUAAGCAAAUCCCUCCCCCACUUUGGUUGACUCUAUGAUUAAAAAAGAAAAUGAUUUCAUUAAAGAUAAUUUAGUUGACAUUUUUGCUUUGGUAGAAGUUAGAGUUGAGAUGGCUUUCACUGCCCUGGAAUAAUUUAGCAUGUGGUAACAUCCAGAACCACAAAGCAGAAAUGCGGUCAACAUGGGUGAGUCAUGGGGAAAAUGUGGCAUGAGCCACCAGGAGGCAGAGACUUGACUUUCAAGGGUCUGGAGGUCACCAUCUGGCAGGAGAGUCUGAACAGCAACAGGAUCUGUUUCUCCUAUCUCCUGACUUCAAAGGGCCAGGAGGCCAAAAGAAUAAUUAUUUGGGAAAUUCAGGUGAGCAAAAUUCAUUUUUCCCUGAAUCCUCUCAUCAUGAGAUUUAGACCAGGUUACUCAAUUCUACAUUGGUUUGAGUUUAAUUAAAAU